UGUAGCCAGGUGGAAGGUCAAUAUUAUGGGACAUGCCACUGGAGGGCGCUGUUUCUUUUGGGGUACCUCUUGGAGCGGAAGGGAUGAUGGGGAUCUACGGAGACAUUCACAGAAGUGCUAGCUUGCAUUGGUGUUAUGUCGGUGUGCAAUGCCGUUUUCACUGCGUGAUCUGUUUUAAAUGCAAAGUGUGGAACAGUUAAGGCACCAGGAGUUGCUGCAACCAACUUCACCGUUCAUCUCAGAGGAUCUGUAUUCCGUUUUCUGCUGGAUUAAUGCACUAGGCCAAUAAGAGGGCCUGGCAGGACAGAGAUGGCGAAGUAGCUGGUGGCAGGCGGCGGCCGCAAUAGGUUUGGAGGCCCUGGUGAGUGGGCUGCAGAAAGUCAACUGGGAUUAAGGAAUAUUCAGCAACGAUGCCGGAAAUUUGCAACUGAGGGACGGGCAGAAAAGUACGCCGGAUGCCGGGCGAGGGACGAGAUACCUGACACGCGCUUGAGCCUAAGACAGCAGUGGGCAGAGAUCGGAGCUCUACCCUCCCGGGGCCAGGGCCUAUUAAAUGCCACAGCCUAAAGGCAGCGGAGUUGCGGAGGCUGGAGUGACCGCUGGCUAUCUACUUCCAGGGUGGUGGGUCUCAGAGGACAACUGCUAACCCUGUUGAAGUCAACACGUGGAGUGCAACUGGCGUUGUGGCAUAGCUGGCUCUGGCCUUGGGAUUGUAUGUUUUUACUUGUUCUGCAAAUGGGACACUGGACUGUUUUAUCUUAUCUUUUGAUUGUAUCAAAUUAUCUUUUAGAAUUUUAUUGACUGUCAUCCUUUUGCCCACAGCUGAGACUGUUGGUCAGACCUAGACUCUUUUUGUGUGUGUUAGCCUACACAUACAUGAUUGUUAACCAUUGUUAAAUUUCCCAAUUCUUUGAUCUUUGGGCUGAAGGAAGAACAACACUCGGUGUAUAAAAAUGCUCAAUCAACAAUCUCUUUAUUCCAUACAACACUUUGACUAUAAACGUCCAGACGGGAGAUGUGGACAGGAUGGGGUCCGCCCGAUCUCAAAGUGUCUGACCGUUUCUCCCAUUCUUAUAGCGUCAGA